rnacentral:RNase_P_RNA from 1 species
UGCAAGUGUAGGUUAGUACAUGCGGGGUUUUCCUCACUCUGUCCGCUGGGAAGGCCUGGGAGCAAUGACAGGCCAUUACCACUGAGCUCACUCAACACCCAGAUCUUAGUUUCUAAACAUCAUUCUCCAAUAAAAGGACACAAGGCUCCUUGGAAAAGUGGUUGAUUCCAGAAAUAGGGCAGGGAAAAAUGCAAGAAAAGCCUGAAACAUCUCUGGUGUGAGAAAACAAGAAAGGGCUCAACAAAGGUUGGGCGUGUCAAAAGGUCAUGGGAGUCAACCUGAAGGGCCAGGACCUUGAGCAAAAAAACAGUAAUACUUUAGGAUUAUAACUCAAAGAUAUGCA